GUUUAUGUGGUGUAGAGGUUAGAGUGUUGGACUUUGACUCUGGAGAUCAGGGUUUGAUUCCCUGCCCAAGCA